GGGAAAGAGGUCUCAAAAGCAGAAGUGGUGCAACUGAUGCUGUCUCAGGAUUUGUCACUGCAAAGAGGAAAAGAAGACCCAGCAAAGGCAAAGCCUUGGCUGUCCCCUGCUCAGGAAGGCAGCAGAUAAAGAAAGAAACACAACAAGUGACAUAGAAAUUCCAAGUUCACCAUUUCACUCAAGCAAAGCUAGAGAGGACACCUCCCAGAGC
rnacentral:lncRNA from 12 species